GACGAACGCUGGCGGCGUGCCUAAUACAUGCAAGUAGAACGCAGUUGCGAACGGGUGAGUAACGCGUAGGUAACUGCCUGGUAGCGGGGGAUAACUAUUGGAACCGAUAGCUAAUACCGCAUACUACCAGAUGGACCUGCGUUGUAUUAGCUAGUGGGUGAGGUAACGGCUCACCAAGGCCACGAUGCAUAGCCGACCGGAGAGGGUGAUCGGCCACACUGGAACUGAGCCACGGCCCAGACUCCUCCGGGAGGCAGCAGUGGGGAAUCUUCGGCAAUGGACGAAAGGCUGACCGAGCCACGCCGCGUGAGUGAAGAAGGUUUUCGGAUCGUAAACCUCUGUUGUUGGAGAAGCGGUAUCUAACCAGAAAGCCACGGCUAACUACGUGCCAGCAGCCGCGGUAAUAC
rnacentral:rRNA from 1 species